rnacentral:lncRNA from 1 species
UUUACCAGACUUUAAUGAUGAUAUCAAAACAAAAUUGCACUGAUUACAUAUUACAAUGCUGAUUCUAAAGAUACUGAAGCAUAAACAAGAUUAUUGAUGCCUGGGAUUCAGAGAUCAUGUAUAGGAAUAAGAAAUUAUUUUAAUUUUUUUUUAAACUCUUACAAAUAACAAUGUUUGGUUGUACUUGCAUUAAACUGUUUUUGACAAUCAUGAUAUCGAUAUUAAAUUUUGUUUUAAAAAAAAACAGGAAAAAAUAUCUUCAAUUACACAAAGAUAAUUUCUAGUAUUUUUUUUAAUUAUUUUUUUCUUUAGUAUUCUAGCAAAUGUAACCACAAAACUCAUAUAUUAUUUUAAAGUACUUAAAGGUGAAACCAGGCAAUGUAAGAUAAAAAUAAUUGAUAAAUAUUUGAUUUUGGAAAAACAUUAUGUUCACAUAUAAUAUUGCCACGUAAAUUGGUUUUCGUGUGUAAACGUAUUUUUCUUUCAUAAUCUGUCUCAUGACGUUAUAACCCGCUAGCUCCGCCGUUUACAUUACUGGUAGAGAGGGUUCGGCCUGUGCUUUCGCUCCAGGAAUUCUGACAGCAUACUGACAAUACAACGAAACAGUAAAUUCAUAAAAAUAAUAACAAGACUCGUAUCUUUUAUUCUGGAAAUCAUGAAUGAUGAACUAUAAUUAGAUAUUUUCUUUUGAUUACUUAUUAUAUAUGGUGAGUUAUUUUCUAUCAAAAUAUUACUAGUAUUGUAUUAUUUGUAUAGUUAUGUUAUGGAAUUGGCUUUUGCUUCUAUAAAUAGACCAGGAACAAAACUUUUUAAAAAGAGAAGUUUUAAAGUUAAUUUGAAUUCAAUAAUCACAUUAAAUUUAGAUGUGAGCAAGCUGGAAGAACACAUUUUGACAGGGUGUAUUUAAAGGCUUUCAUUGUAUUUCAUUACAUUCAAAGAUUUUUGACAAAAACAAAUCUUCCUUUAUCGUAAGUGUAAUGACUUCAUUUCAGACAUUUUUGAAAUUUAAAAAAAAAAAGAGAGUGCACAUUCUGCGUAUUUUUCUAAAAAUUUUAAUGUAAUGAUACAAUUUUAAAUGAGCAGUUUUAUGGGUUGAAAAUAGUAAAGCAAAAGGAAAGUUAAAAUGAAAAUCUAAUCAUAAUAUUUGACUUUGUAAUUGUACUAACACUUAUAAUCAAGUCAUAUAGGUUCACAACAUACUGAAACAAAUCAUACCAUAGCUUUCACAAAUGAAUCCUGAAUUUAAUACAUGUAUAUGAGAAAAAAAAUGCACCAAGUAAAUACUGGAAGGAGUAAUGGUAUUACAACAAUUAUGAAUCAGAUUUACUCAAUACAACAAUAUCUAACAAUUAGGGGUGAGGAUAGGUGUAUCAUGGUAAAUGGGAGCUUUUCUCAUUAACAUAAGUCUGAAGAGCUAAAUAAAAAAUAUAAGAUUUUUUUAUGUACAUAGAAAAUAAUGAUGAUGGAAAACACAUUCAUUUCACAUUACAAACAAAACAAAUUGUGACCUGAUGGAAAUUAAGGAAGGAUUUUGGACAUAAGCCCUCAUACAGUUCAGUUAUGCUACAUAAUUUUUUUUGAUAAUCUAGUCAGGGAUCUUCAGGAUUACACAAAAAUUGCCUCAGAUAAAUGAUACAGCCACAAAA